rnacentral:lncRNA from 1 species
CAAACACGUGCGUCGCAAAGUCGUAAAUAAAUUCUGUAUGUGAUAUUUAGCGGAAGCCAUUUAACCAUAUCAUUUUGUCAAACAAUUCAAUCAACACCUUUAUUAAUUAGUCCUUUGUUGUCGAUAGCUAUAAAAUGCAAUCAGCUGAUUAUUGAUUUUCUGUCCAAAUCUUAAUGAGGUCAAGGUGAAUUCCGAGUAUUGUCUGAUCGGGUAAAGUCCGAGAAACUCGAAAAAAGUAAAUAAACAAGAUAGAGGAAAAUAAAUCGUUCCAUAUAUUUCUUUCGCCAAAUUCUUUCGCAAAUGACGAAUUUUUAUCGCCACAAUUAUUAUUUUUUGACCGCCAGCGGAAACCCUGGACACAUGCAUUCCAAACUUCCUUAAGGUGGCUCGGGACUAUUCGACUGCGCAUAAUUUCACGCAUGAAUUACAAAAGUAUUUGCCGUAAAUUCGAUAUAAUUUUUUUUAAUAUUUUGAUUGAUUAGAAAUGUCAAAUCAUUGUAGUUAUGUAACUAAUAGAAUAUUUUCGUUAUUAUCGGUAUUUUUUAAAGGGUCAAAAUGACAAUUCACCCAUUUUCACCAUUUUCCCGCAAAAUUU